UCUGUGUCAGCCAGGCUGGGCUGGUGCUCACACAUUCCAUUCUGGGGGAAGCCAGCCAGCUGAUAGGGGAUGAGCAGGAGGACAUUACAGCCAAGGUCAUGGCCCAUUUAUUUAACAUUAGGUGCUUGCACCAGGUGCUCAAAGCACUGCAGGGAUUGUGCUCCGUGGGACAGCCUUGAAGGGCCUCCCCUUCGCCUGACCAGAAGCUCCCACUCUCUGCCGCAGGAAGGGAUUCCCACAAUGAGAGGUCGCUAGGGCUCCACUUCGCUCCAGUCCCUCCACCCACCCGCUCCAGCAUUGCCUCCUCCUCCUGAUCAUCCCCAACUCCUCAGAUUUUGACUACCCAGAUUUGACCUUCAGCCUGUAUCUGGACUUUGGCUUGGCAUGGACUUGGCUGAUCUUUGGUCUGACCACCCAGCUUCAACCUCUGGCCUGGACUUGGACACUGGCUCUGGUUCUGCCUGGACAUACUCAACCAUUCUUGACUUCGACACCCGGCAGUAGUAUAAGGGCCCUACCAUCAAUCAAAUCCUAACCCCGCUCCAUGACCACUUAGUCGUUCCCUCCUGUCACCGGAAGUCCUGCCCUAUGAGGGUAUUACUUCCGGGUUCAAGGCAGCCACAUGACCAGAAGCAAGGUGUGUCGUGUAACCCUGAUAAGAACUCCUCCCACCACACUAUACCAAUCAGGAUGGGGUUAGUCCUGAAAGGACUACCCCAAGAGGAGAUUUGACAAAUCAGGGCGAUUUCCGGGGCAGGGGGGUAACCCGCCCAGAAGUGGGUCUUGUGACCCCUCUAAGAACUCCUCCCAUUGCCCUCUACCAAUUAGGAUUGUUUUUGCCCCGCUAGGACCACCCCAAGAGGAGAUUGUGGCCAAUCAGGGCGAGUUCCAUGGCAGGGUGACCCAUCCAGAAGUGAGCAGUAUGACCCCACUAAGAACUCCUCCCAAGGCUGAGAUCAUCCCUCAUCCCUGGAUUCCAGACCUGGGAUACAGCUGUCAUUCUCUGUGUGGUGUCCUUAUUUUAUUGCUAGGAAAAAGAUCCCCAAAGGCGAUAUAAGGAUCCAGGACUCUAAUGUCUGCAAGAAGCUUCAGCCACCUUCACAGGUUAUAGCUUGCUGUCCAUUGUGGAGGUGAAAACUGGAUGGGAGCUGCCGGAUUGAUCUUGAUUUGCCAUGUCUUUGUGUGGAUGAAGGACCUACAUCUCAGGGAUGGCCAGCUAGGCUAAACAACCUACACUGAGAGAUCUCAGCCGCUCAGCAGAAUGUGGGAGAGCCGAGUGCUGAUGGACUAGAGGGGUCCCAGGAGUCGCUGUGCAGCAGAUUACAGUGUCUGCAGUCACCAUGGGCAAAAUCCAGUGCUCCAGACAACCCAGGCUGCUUCCCUGGAUUGCAAAGGGGACUCUGGCUUGUGGAAUCAGUUACUGGUGCCUGUUUCCACAACUGGGAUGUUUUCAUGAGGCUACUCAAUGGUCCAUGAAGCGCCAUGCAAGUAAGGAGAGAAUGGACAUUAGAGAGCGAGGCUGGGACCUCUGCAGAGCUGCUGCAGUCAAGCAUCCACAGCCAGAAGAGAGACGAUGGGAAACGCGCUUCGAUGGCUGGCCACAGACGCAGCAGCUGUCUCAUAAAGCUCUGCUCAUGCUCUAGACAACAGAGGCAGGACAAAGAGCCACACAGUGAGAGCCUGGGUUGCAAUUAGCAAUAUGUGUUUUUUUCAGUUGAUUAUGCUGUCCUGACCGUCUAUUUCCUGCAAUGUGCACAUCCAGCCUCCCCGGCUGACCUCAAUGGAAGUUAGGUUCUCCAUGCCCACAGGACAGUCCCUGACAUGCAGCAGUGGCCAAGUCACAAUGCAAUUGCAACAGGGCAAUG